UCCAGACUCCUACGGGAGGCAGCAGUGGGGAAUAUUGCACAAUGGGGGGAACCCUGAUGCAGCGACGCCGCGUGAGUGAAGAAGUAUUUCGGUAUGUAAAGCUCUAUCAGCAGGGAAGAUAAUGACGGUACCUGACUAAGAAGCCCCGGCUAACUACGUGCCAGCAGCCGCGGUAAUACGUAGGGGGCAAGCGUUAUCCGGAUUUACUGGGUGUAAAGGGUGCGUAGGUGGCAGGGCAAGUCAGAUGUGAAAGCCCGGGGCCCAACCCCGGUACUGCAUUUGAAACUGUCCGGCUGGAGUGCAGGAGAGGUAAGCGGAAUUCCUAGUGUAGCGGUGAAAUGCGUAGAUAUUAGGAGGAACACCAGUGGCGAAGGCGGCUUACUGGACUGUAACUGACACUGAGGCACGAAAGCGUGGGGAGCAAACAGGAUUAGAUACCCGCGUA
rnacentral:rRNA from 1 species